rnacentral:rRNA from 1 species
UGCAAGUCGAACGGUAACAGGAAGCAGCUUGCUGCUUCGCUGACGAGUGGCGGACGGGUGAGUAAUGUCUGGGAAACUGCCUGAUGGAGGGGGAUAACUACUGGAAACGGUAGCUAAUACCGCAUAAUGUCGCAAGACCAAAGAGGGGGACCUUCGGGCCUCUUGCCAUCGGAUGUGCCCAGAUGGGAUUAGCUUGUUGGUGGGGUAACGGCUCACCAAGGCGACGAUCCCUAGCUGGUCUGAGAGGAUGACCAGCCACACUGGAACUGAGACACGGUCAA